AGCUUUGCACAGUGGCAGUAUUAUAGCUGGUGAGGUUUAUCCAAAGCGUGAUUAUUGCUAAUUGUCAUUAUGACAUAAAAACUUUAAUAAUAUGUAUGCACAUGGUUAGAAAGUGUAAGCAAACUGCAAUGUG
rnacentral:snRNA from 1 species